rnacentral:rRNA from 1 species
GAUUAAACUCUAAAUAUCCUGAACAAGCCCGAUGUCUGAUCUCGGAAGCUAAGCAAGGUCAGGCCUGGUUAGUACUUGAAUGAGAGACCACCUAGGAAGACCAGGUGCUGUAGGUA